rnacentral:rRNA from 1 species
CCUACGGGUGGCAGCAGUGAGGAAUAUUGGUCAAUGGACGAGAGUCUGAACCAGCCAAGUAGCGUGAAGGAUGACUGCCCUAUGGGUUGUAAACUUCUUUUAUAUGGGAAUAAAAUGUUCCACGUGUGUGAUUUUGUAUGUACCAUAUGAAUAAGGAUCGGCUAACUCCGUGCCAGCAGCCGCGGUAAUACGGAGGAUCCGAGCGUUAUCCGGAUUUAUUGGGUUUAAAGGGAGCGUAGGUGGAUUGUUAAGUCAGUUGUGAAAGUUUGCGGCUCAACCGUGAAAUUGCAGUUGAAACUGGCAGUCUUGAGUACAGUAGAGGUGGGCGGAAUUCGUGGUGUAGCGGUGAAAUGCUUAGAGAUCACGAAGAACUCCGAUUGCGAAGGCAGUUCACUGGACUGCAACUGACACUGAGGCUCGAAAGUGUGGGUAUCAAACAGGAUUAGAUACCCUAGUAGUC